ensembl:lncRNA
GAGGGCGCUGGGCGCAGGUCCCGGAGGGGCUUAGGGCCACCGGCCGCCCGAGUUGGGACCCCGACUCAGCCACGGAUAGGCGUGGAAGCCGGGCAGGCCGGAUCGCGCUGUGCCUCCGCGUUCCCAUCUCUGAAACGGGCUACUGGGGAGCUGCCUUCUCAGUCGAGGGUGCUGAGAAGUCAGACGGUCUGUGCACGGCGCAGAGCGGGGUCCGGCACCGCUCGCCAGCCCCGGAAACCCGCGUGAGCCGCUGGCCCCGCCGCGCUCCCAUCUGGGUGACGGGCUUGCUUCAGAACUCCGCGAAACGCUGGGCCUGGGCCUCACCCUGCACGGAGAGAACUCCCGGGCUGGGCGGAGAGGUGGGAAACGGAGGCUCCCGGAGGCAGAAAAGGACUCUGCCAAGACCGGACCGCCGCGGCGGGGGCAGACUUCGAACCUGGGAUUUACCGCAGAGCCCGAACUUGGAGGCGAGGGUUCCGCAGUUGUGAACGAAGCUGGAGGCGCCCCAGGAAGCCCCGACCCCACCCGCGCCCAGCUGCUCCCGGAGAUCGUCCUGCGCUGCAGGCCCGCGAGGGCCCCGGGGUUCCCACGCCUGGGGUCGGAAUCCGGCCUCCGGUGAGGCACCGAGGCCCGCCUUUCUCCGCCCUGGUUCCCGGCCGCCCUCCCCUUCCCCCUGCACUCUGGGCCCCUCGUCUCCCGAGGAAGGCCACGAGAACCGGCCCAAGGUUUGUGCACUUUGAAGCUGUUUUUCUUUUCUUAAAAGAAAAUCCUGAAAUUCUAAACAGAUCCUCCUCAAUCGUGGAAAAAAAAAAAAAAAAGAUUUUUACAUCUCGUCUAGAGCAUUCGUCUAACUUAAUUUCACCGCGACUCUGCAAGCCCUGGGGGAAGGAGGUUGUGCCAUUGGAGGGUUGAGAAGACUGAGGCUCCACGACAGUGAAGGGGGGGGCUUGGGCGAGUCGUGUUGUUGGGAUAUCUGAGAGCGAUUCAGGAGCCGCCGCGUUUGCCCGCAAGCCUCCACUAUGCAGGCUGGCUUUCCUUCCUUCCUUCUCUCCUUCCUAAGUACCCACUUCACGCCUGUCAGGGUGUGGCUACUAGAGACUUAUUGAUGAAAGAGAACAGAUCUGGCCCUGCCCUCCUGGCACUUACAAGUGAAGGGGAAUCAGACACUAAGCUCGUGGUUACACGGAGAGCUAAAAAUUCCAGGUAGGAUACAGGGAGGGGGCUGGGCCAGUAGUGGAGAGGGUGCCAGGCUCUGCCUGGGACUGGGCAGGGCUGCGCUGGUGCAGGUGGUCCAGAGCCUAGCGAAGCCAGGAAGGAGGGAGCUGCAGACGGUGCAAAGGUCCCCUGGGUGAGGGCUAGAACUUGAAUGUGGAGAUCAGGUUGUUUGACCCAGACUGGCCUCCACUGUUGUAACUGAGGUGGGGACAGGGUGAUGUCAUCACCUUGUCUUGCUAGCACCAGGAACCCAGUAGCCCUGGGGUCCUAACAGCGUCCAAAUCUGUCCUUCAUCCUCUUGGAGGAGUCACAGCCCCAUGGUAAGGAAGGGCAUGAGUGCACACUACCACCCCCGUGGAUGCAUCUGCAGCAGCUGCUGGCUGAGCAUCACUCCUGCUUGGAGUACCAGCUCUCUGAGAGUCAUUUGGGAGGUUGAUGGCCUGGGCCUGGCCACAUAGCCUGGGCACUGGUUCAGAGGUCAGCAUGUGGCCCAGGCUGGGACGUUGACAACUUGCUUCAGCACAUGAGGGAAACCAGCAGAAAAGGUGAGCUUGCUUGGCCUGGCACAGUGGCUUCGGUCUUCAUCCCAGCACCUUGGGAGGCCGAGGCGGGAGAAUCGCUUGAGGCCAGAAGCUGGAAACCAGCCUGGGCAACAACAGAGAGAUCCAUCUUUACAAAGAGUGAAAAAAAAAAAAAAAAAAA